rnacentral:tRNA from 1 species
GGGGCUGUAGCUCAGUUGGGAGAGCGCAUGACUGGCAGUCAUGAGGUCGUCGGUUCGAAUCCGAUCAGCUCCA